GGGGAGAUGCCCGAGUGGCCAAUGGGAGCGGGCUGUAAACCCGCCGGCUUACGCCUACAGAGGUUCAAAUCCUCUUCUCCCCACCA
rnacentral:tRNA from 1 species